rnacentral:piRNA from 1 species
UUCAUUUCUAUUGAAAGCACACCUCUUCUA